AGGCCUUUGGCGCAAAGGUAGCGCGUCCGCCUCCUAUUCCAGCGAGCGGAAGGCUGUGGGUUCGAGUCCCAUGAGGCCUG
rnacentral:tRNA from 2 species